rnacentral:SRP_RNA from 1 species
GCUGGGUGUGGUGGUGUGCACCUGUAGUCUCAGCUACUUGGGAGGCUGAGGCAGGAGGAUCACUUGAGCCUGGGAGGUUGAGGGUGCAGUGAGUCAUAAUUGCAUCACUGCACUCCAGCAUGGGAGACAGAGUGAGACCCUGUCUCAU